UGGGGAAUUUUCCGCAAUGGGCGAAAGCCUGACGGAGCAAUACCGCGUGAGGGAGGAAGGCUCUUGGGUUGUAAACCUCUUUUCUCAGGGAAGAAUCCUGACGGUACCUGAGGAAUCAGCAUCGGCUAACUCCGUGCCAGCAGCCGCGGUAAUACGGAGGAUGCAAGCGUUAUCCGGAAUGAUUGGGCGUAAAGCGUCCGCAGGUGGUGAUGCAAGUC
rnacentral:rRNA from 1 species